ACCGCGACCACGAUCGUGUCCUCGGCCUCUAGUGGCCAUAGUUGGUGGUACUGGUGGUCGUCUAUCCUGACUGAUAGCGCGAUGUCCUCACCAUCUGUGAGAGAAUAGAAUAACAGAAUGUUAGUACUCGGAUCAACAAAUUCGCACGACAAGAAUUUUAAGAAUAUGAAGUUUUUCCUAAAGGUUCUGCAGCCUCUUGAGGAUAAAUACAGAUGUCUCUGUACCGAUCUGCGAGACUCUACUAAACCUGCUCAUAACUCGUGAGACCUAUGUAACCUAGGCUCUGGUACCAACUUGUCAUGACCUUAAACCCGGACCCGGUCAUGAUGGCGCCUCUCGUGAAGUCAAGGCCAGCCGACAUUUCCCAUUUCAGUUUUUAAGCAAUUAAACAAUAAGAUUCAAAUCUAAAUCAUGAUAAAUAAUCCAAAGUUUAAGCAGUCAAUAAUACAAAUUUGCAGAAGAACAACCCAACACAGUCCGAUACCAGGGUGUCACUAGUCAUGAGCAUCUAAAAUCUGAAAUAAUCAAGAAAAGACUACAGAGUUCCGUACAAAACUAAAACAAGGAUAAACAAUACAGGGAAGAAGCUCUGGGCAGCAAAAGCCGGCAACUACCUAGAGAAUUCUCGGAUCCACCUGAGCUGGAAGGAUCAACACUCGGGAGCGGGACUAGAUGCGCCUGAAUCUGCACAUGGGGUCCAGGGAGUAAAGUGAGUACUCCAACUCAGUGUAAUAAUCAUAAAUAAACACUGAAAGCAUUAAUUCACGUAAGGCACAUUACAGGCUAUAACUAGGCAGUAAAACCAAUAAAAACAGUAAAUCAGUAAAAGAUAUGUGAAAGUCAUUUUAGUUCAAAUUACACUUAUGAAAAGCCUUUUUCAACAAUUAAGCAGGUAAAUGAUAGGCAAUUAAGGAAGUUAAACACAUAAAGGUUUGCCCCUCGGGCAUAGCAUCAACAAAUCCUCCCCUCGGGCAUAGCAUCAACAAAUCCUCCCCUCGGGAAGUAUCUCAGAAUAAUAGUAGCCCCUCGGGCUAUAUCUCACAUCACAAUGGGUACCCGCGCUCACUAGGGGUGUGCAGACUCCUGGAGAGGCCCUUUACGGCCUAAGCGCAAUAUCAAGCCAUCUCGUGGCAUCAUCACUAGGCUCUCGGCCUCAUAUCAACAAGCCACCUCGUGGAGUACACAUCUCAGGCCCUCGGCCUCAUAAGCAUAAUCAGUAUUUCCUCACAACAUAGGCCCUUGGCCUUACUCAGUCAAAAUCUCACAGCCACUCGGGCAACAGUAAAACAUAGUGCUUAGCCCAAAAUAUCAUUUAAGUGUUAAAGUAGAGUAAACAUGGCUGAGUUACGAAAAUAGUAGAAUAUAACAUGAUUGAGUUCAAGUAUAAAGUCAAAAUAGUUGCGGUACCGCAUUUGCGGUUAUUUCUCCGCUUCUGCGGAAAUCACUUAACUUACGGUUUUCUGCUUAUGCGAUCCCUCAUCCGCAUUUGCGACAUUGCAGAUGCGGUCCAUCUCACCGCUUCUGCAGUUCCUGACUCCCUCAGAACUUCAGUUUCUGCUACCUCCCUUAUUGCACAUGCGGUCCCCAAUUCGAAUGUGAGGAAAUACCAGAAGCAACACCUUCAACAGCUGCAACAAAAUUCCAACUUCUCUGUUAACCAUCUGAAAUCACCCCGAGGCCCCCGGAACCUCAACCAAAAGAACAAACAUAUCCUAAUACCUUAUUCAAACUUGUACCAAUCUUUAAAACACCUCAAAUAACAUCAAAUCAACCAAAACCCAUCAGAUUCAAGCCAAAUUUUCUAAAAUCUUCCAAAUUCCGCUUUUGAUCAAAAACCCAACCAAACCUCGUCCGAAUGACAUGAAAUUUUGCACAUACAUCCUAAAUGAUACAACGGAACUACUGCAACUCUCAGAAUUCCAUUCCGACCCCUCUAUCAAAAUCUCGCCUACCAACCGGAAAUUGCCAAAAUAUCAACUUUGCCAAUAAAAGCCUAAAUCUACUACGAACCUCUAAAAUUCAUUUCGAUCACGCUCCUAAGUCACAAAUCACCUCCCAAAGAUAGCCGAACCAUCAAAACUCACAUACGAGCCCUCUAACACAUAAGUCGAUAUCUGGUUGACUUUUCCAACUUAAACUCACUCUUAAGAGACUAAGUGUCUCAAACCUUACCAAAUCCUUUCCGAACUCGAUACGACCAACCCGAUACCACAUAACACGGAUAACAAGGCAUAACAAAGCAGAAAUAGGGAAAACGGAGUGGUAACUCAUGAGACGACUGGCCGGGUCAUCAUAAUAUUCCCCUACCUCUCCCCCUUGUGUGAGAUUUGUUCUGAAGCUGUAUGUUCUCUAGCCUGCUUUCUAACUAUUUUUUUUAAAUGCCUUAUUAAAUUGUUCCUACUCUUUACUCUGUUCUGACUUUCAUAAAUGUUCUUUCUACUAGUAAGAUCUUCAUUCUCUAUCUACCAAACCCUUUCAAAGUCAUUAUGCACUCCCACAUUACUCCUAGAGUAUUAGGUUCUGCCCCUCUGGCAUGUCAGAGCUGGCCUUUCCACACUGCACUUAAAUCAGUUAUUGUUGAGAAAGGGUUUAGGUGUGAGCACUACCCGGGAUCCUUGAGGUCCUUAGGGAACUUUGACACACCUAGACAUGAUAUCGUCUAUGGAACUUUGGUAUUGAGGCUAUCGGAGGCUUGGGAAAUCAUUUGGGCCUGCUUCAGGCUCCCUAUAGUUAACUUCUUUUUUUUUAUUUGUUUAUGUAAUUUAUUUCAGACGGUAUGUAAUAAUUAUAUAUAAACAACAUUGGGGUGAUUAGUGAAAAGGGAUGGGUAGUUAUAUCUGUUAGGGUAAUUCGGGUAGAUACCAUGCCUAUAGGAUUGUGUUAAUACACUUGUUAUGUUUGCUUUACUUUCACAAUAUUAGAAAUUAUGUCUAUAGGGUUAAAAUCAACUUUAUAAUUAGAAAUCAUGCUUAUAGGAUCUAAAUGGCUUUGUAAUUAGAAAUCAUGCCUAUAGGAUUUAAAUGGCUUUAAUAACUAGAUACCAUGCCUAUAGAGUGUAAAGUAAUUGAGUUCAAUUUCUGCCACUACAUGUAUUUGCAUUUGUUUCACUAAAAAUCAUGCCUAUAAGUUCCAACAUCAGCUCUUAACAAUUAGAUACCAUGCCUAUAUGAAUUAAAAUCAAAAAUCCUACCUACAGAACUAAAAUCAGUUUGGUUAAACAAGUCAGUUUAAUUCAUGUCUAAUUCGUGUUCAAAUUGGUUCAAUUACUGUCCAUUUCUUUAAAUGAGUUUCCAAACACUGCCUUAAUUUACUACCGCUAGAAAACAUGUCUAUAGGAUCUCAAAUAUCUAUUUAAAACUGUUCGCUAUUUUACUAAAUCAAGGUAGAUAUCCUGCUCUUAGGACAUCACUGUCUGCGUUUAGGCAAGCCUAUAGGGCGAUUAAAAUUUUGCAACUCUGAAAUUGUGUUUUUGCUAUUUAAACUGUCCAGAUUUAAUAGGUUUAAACCAGUAGGCAAGCUAAAUAGGAUUUUGACACUUUGUCCUAAUUCAAGGCUGUGUAAUCCCUGCUCACCUAGAUACCAUGUUCUAGGAUCUUCUCUUAAAUACUGGACUAUUGUUUGAAGACGUGCAAUUACUUGUUAUAUUUGUGGAGGUAACUUUGGGCCUAUAACUUGUUCCCUUUAAAUGCAAUCCUAACCGUUCUUGAUUGAUUCCUAGACUUUUAUCCUUUAAAACCUUAGGAGGGUCUAGAACUGUCCAAAAGUAGAGGUCCUGAAAUACCUCCAGGGCCACGAGGAGGGGACGGGUAGUGCACACAUAAGACAUUUUAAUGUUAUUAGAAUGCUUUAGGUUAUGAUGACUACGCGCUAAUAUCACGUCUAGCCCCUUAUUGAGGAGUGUUUACCGGGCAUUGUGUGGGGUGAUCCUGUAGGCUAAUCAACAUAGGAUCCCUUUCUCCAAUUCCCAAUGUACUUUACUUUUUUAUAUGCAACUUGCUCAAAUUCUUUGUCUUAUUAUUAUUUGAGUCAAACAGUGUCCGAUAUACUUUUAUUUACAAAUUAUGUGUUUCAACUUCUUGUUUUUAAAGGACUAAUUCAUAAGUAUGAGUUCGGCCAGGACCCACUAUUGUGGACCAAGAGGGGUGCCUAACACCUUUCCCUCAAGGUUAUUUCGAGCCCUUACCCUAAAUCUCUAGUAAUGCAAAUUAGUCUAAGUGUUAAUUACUCUAGGUGCCCUAACGCACCAUAAAUCCGUUAGGUGGCGACUCUUCAAAUACCCAAAUCCCAAAACCCCCCAUGAACGUCGGAACCCGGAAUUCUCUCCGCGAAGAGAAAAAAGGGGCGCGACACUACUUAUUUCCUGCAUCGUUAGUGUGGAAGUUUCAAAUAAUUUUUUACUGUGCUGUUUUGGAUUGGAUAACCAGUCGUUGGAUGAUUUUUUUUUCUUUUCUUGUUUUGCUAUAAAAAGAAAUAAUCAAAGCUGAAGGGAGAAAUAAAUCAAAGAUUGAUUGAAGCAUCUAAAAGGAAAAAGAGCGCUAAGAAUCCGACAAGAAAAUCAAUCAGAGAUUGCCUGAAGAGUUAAAAAGGAAAAAACGCAUUAAAGAUGGAAGGAACCAUAUUUAAGGAGCAAACACGGCGCUAUUAAGGCUUGAAGAUGGAAGGUGUCAAAGUCCACACAUCAAGGAAGAGUAACGGGCAUUUACCUUAUUCUUGGAAAGAAUCAAUUUCUUUCCAAGGAUCAAAUCUCUUGGGUUGACAAAUCUGUUCAGUAACAGUCUCCUACAAAGUAUUUAUACGCAACCUUAGGACUUAGAGACAUAUACUUUGAUCAAACCAAUUAUCCUCUCUUUGUUCUACCACAAACAAACAUUGUAGCUUUACUAGAUCUACCGUGUAACAACUUAGAGAAGAAAGAGAGAAAAAUACUAGUGAGGCAUUGUAUCAAGAAAAGACGAGUGACAUAAAAACUGAGUUGUUGGUGUAAACUACACCAUUCACUUUGUACUCAAGAAACUCAAUCCCUGAAAGAGAAAUCCCUUGCAACCCAAGGGAACUGGACUAGGAUUCACAUUGAAUCCGAACCAGUAUAAAACCUCCGUGUCUUUAAUUCUUGCAAUUUACUUCUGCAUUUUAAUUCUGCACCUUUUGAUAUCUUGCUAUUACAUCUAGCCGACUAAUUGAAAAAAUAAUCAACUUAUAACAAUUAAUUUUAAUAAUAAAUCAAUUCACCCCCCUCUUGUACUUUCAUGUACUUAUCUUCUAGAGGCUAUGAAGUUUAGGAACAAAUUUCACUUUUACUCUUCUUUGUCGUGUGAUUUUACUCUCUCAUUGCUCAUUGAACUCUUCUACUCUUGUUCUCUCACAGAUGGUGAGAACAUGUACUGCAUUUCAAUCGGAGACCCCAGUGGCAGCUCCUAUGAGAAGUAGAGGUCGAGGCUGAGGUAGAGGUAGAGCUCAGCCCAGAGCUCGAGCACCAGCACCAGCACCAGUAGUAGAGUCUUAGGUGGAGUUUGAUGAGGAGGUUCCAUCCUAGACUGUGCCUAUUGGACCAGCUCAGGUCCCGGAGGGGUUCAUCGCCACCCUUGUGCUUCAAGACGCUCUAGUCCGUUUAUUGGGCCUUAUGGAUAGUGUGUCCCAGGCCGGUACAUUCCCUAUAGCACCACCCAUAUAUCAGGCUGGGAGAGGAGCAAAGACUCCCACUACUCACACUCCGGAGCAGAUGAACCCUAAUACCAGACUCCAGCAGCCCAGCCAGUUAGGGUAGUUUAGCUGGUGUUGUGGCAUAUGCCGGUGAUGGACUAACCAUGUCUUCUGAGGGCUUAUUGAGAUUGGACAAGUUUACCAAGCUCUUACUAGUUCACUUCAGUGGUGCACCUUCUGAGGAGCCACAGGAUUAGCUUGGCCGCUGUCAUGAGGUGCUGCGGAACAUGGGGAUAGUUGAGACCAAUGGGGUCGAUUUUGCUUUGUUUUAGAUGAUGAUUUCCACCAAGAGAUGAUGGAAGGAUUUUGUAGCUACUAGACCAGUCGGGUCGUAUGCUCUUACUUGGGACUAGUUCUCUCAGAUAUUUCUUGAGAAGUUCUUUCCUGUCAUACUGAGAGAGGAUUAUCGCAAGCAGUUUGAGCGUCUCCAUCAGGGCAGUAUGUUAGUCACUCAGUAUGAGACUCGUUUUGUGGAUCUGGCCAGUCAUGCUAUUCUUCUGCUUCCUACCAAGAGAGAGAGAGAGAGAAGGUGUGGAGGUUUAUCGAGGGACUCGCUCAGCCUAUCAAAUUGCAGAUGGUUAAGGAGACCGGGAGCGAUAUUUUUUUCUGACAGCUGCUAAUGUCACCUGGCGAGUCGAGAUGGUUCUUGCAUAGGGGGAGGUAACGGAUCUGACAAGAGGCCUCGUCAUUCCAGUGGGUUCAGUGGUGCCUCGUCUGGAGGCAGGGGUACUUUCGGUAGAGGCCAUCCUCACAGGCCGUUUUAUUUAGCACUCCAGGCGUCCCAUAGUGCUACAGGUGGUUGUGGCCCUCAUAUGCCUCAUUCUGACUAGCUAACCUAUAGUGCACCACCAGCUCCUAUUAGUGCACCUCGGCUCCAGAGUUUUCAGGGUGGUUUCUCGGGUUGACAUGGUCAGUUUUAGGGUCUGCAGUCACAGCAGCCAAGGUCCUGUUAUACUUAUGGUGAUCUGAGGUAUAUUGCUAGAUUUUUUCCUCGGGCAUCGAGCAUCUCACAAUAUCAAGGUUCUCGUGCCAUGGUCCCAGCACUGGUGCUUUACUGCCCGCUAAUAUAGCUAGAGGUUGGGAUCAGACAGCUAGAGGUAGAGGUUAGGCUAUCAGAGGUGGUGGUCAGUCUGCUAGAGGUGGAGGCCAGCCAGCUAGGGCCCGUCCAUAGAGAUAUAGUUCAGAGUGGUGGGGCCCAGCCUCGAUGCAAUGCUUUUCCAGCUAGGCCUAAGGCUGAGUCAUCUGACGCCGUUAUCAGAUGUAUUGUUUCAGUUUGCCGUAGUGAUGCUUCAGUUCUAUUUGAUCCGGGCUCUACUUAUUCCUACGUGUCAUCCUAUUUUGCUUCAUAUUUGGUUAUGCCUCGUGAUUCUUUGAGUGCUUCUAUGUAUGAGCCUACACCUAUGGGAGAUGCUAUUGUUGUAGAUUGUGUUUAUCAUUUGUGUGUGGUUACAAUUGAAAGUCUUGAGACUAGUGCAGAUCUUCUACUUCUUGAUAUGGUAGACUUCGAUGUUAUCUUAGGCAUAGAUUGGCUAUCACCGUAUCACACUAGAUUGGAUUGUCACGCCAAGACGGUGACCUUAGCCUUGCCAGGGUUGCCUCGAUUAGAGUGGAGAGGGACUCCUGGCCAUUCUACCCGGAGGGUUAUCUCUUAUGUGAAGGCUCGGUAUAUGGUCGAGAAGGGGUGUCUAGCUUAUCUGGCUUAUGUCCGCGAUUCUAGUAUGGAGGUUCCUUCCAUGGAUUCAGUACCUAUUGUUUGUGCGUUUCCAGAGGUAUUUCCUACAGACUUGCUGUCAUGAUCCUAAAACUCACCCGGUCAUGAUGGCGCCUAUCGUGAAACUAGGCCAGCCGACACAAACCCAAAACCAACUAGAAAAUCAUAAGAAGCCAUUUUAAGCCAUUAAUUAACUAAAAUCCCAUAAUAUAAGUUUAAACAAGCAGUGCGGAAAUAUAACACAAGCCCGACAUCGGGGUGUUACCAGUCAUGAGCAACUACAAACUUUUCUAAGAACAAGGAAAGGCUAACAUAGUCCGAAAAUAAAAUACUAAGACAAUCUGAGUAAUAAGAAGGAGAAAUGUAGGGCUGCGAACGCCAAGAAGCUACCUAGCCAACUCUGGAGACCUGCUGGAAGACUGAUCAGCACUCACUAUCACGUCCCGAGACUCAUGAAUCUACACACAUGGUGCAGGGAGUAAUGUGAGUACGCCAACUCAGUAAGUAUUAAAAGUAAAAGAAGCUAAGCAGUAAGAAAACAUGUAAUUCCACGUCAUAGAACUACAACAAAAUAGUAUAUGUCCAGAACAAUACAGUAAAUCAAUUAACUCGUAAAACAACUCGGUUCAGUAAAACCCUUUUAAAACAUCUUUCAAUAGUUUCAAACGAGUGAUGAAAACAGUGAGUAAAAGGAUAGAAAGUAAAUGGCCCCUCGGCCAAAACAUGUAUCAAAAACUGCCCAUCGGGCAAAAUAUCAACAAAACCAGCCCCUCGGGCAACAACAUGAAACAACAAGAGCCCCUCGGGCAAUAUCAUAUCACUCACACUGGGACACGCACUCACUGGGGGUGUUCAGACUCUAGAAGGGCUCCUACAGCCCAAGCGCUAUCACAAGCCAUCACGUGGCAUAGCAAAUCAGGCCCUCGGCCUCUCAUAUAUCACAAAUCAGUACAACAUGCUAUGACGCACAGCCCGAUCCCAUAAUAUCCUCACAACACAGGCCCUCGGACUCACUCAGUCAGAAAUCUCUCAAGCCACUCGGGCAAUAGUAAAACAUGAUGCUCAGCCCAAAAUAUCAUUUAAAUUAUCAAAAUGGAGUAAGUACGGCUGAGUUAUAAAAACAGUAGAAUACAACAUGACUGAGUUUAGAUAUUAAGUAAAACCAUUAAGGAAUAGUAGUAAAAAGCCCCUAAGGGUCCAAAACAGUUGGCAUGAGGCCCAGAUAUGGCAUUCAAUCCAAAACAUGGAAAUACUUUCCAAAACACAAUGAUAUCAAAUAGUUUUCAAUCAAAUACACGACUUAACAGUCGUACCGGACAGACCAAGCCAGAAUCCCCAAUGGUGCACGACCCCACACUCAUCAUCUAGCGUGUGCAUCACCUCAAAGUAGCACAACGAUGUGAAAUCUGGGGUUUCAUACCCUUAGGACAAUAUUUACAAUCAUUACUAACCUCGAUCCGGUCCAAACUCUAGCCCGCAAUGCCUUUGUCUCUCUAUUUGUUCUCUAAAUGCUCCAAAUCUAACCAAAAUCAGUAUCAUACCAUAAAUACGCGCUAAAGGAACAAAGCCCAAGCGAAAUAAUCAAAUUAACUCAAAAAUCCUAAAAUUGGUCAAACCCGACCCCAGGCCCACAUCUCGGAAUCCGAUAAAAAUUACAUCAAUAGAAUCCUUAUUCUCCCACGAGUCCAUACAUACUAAGAACAUCAAAAUCGGAACUCAAAUGUCCCCUUAAAUCCCCAAUUUACACUCUCUAAUUUCAACCCCUAAUUCCCCAAUUUUAGGCUUUAAAUCCCACUAAUUUCAUGUCUAAAUAGUUAGAAAUCAUCAUAGAAUUGAGUAUUGAGUUCAAAAACCUUAUCUCCAAGUGUUUCGCUUCGAUUCCAUCUCCAAUACCUCUCAAAAAGCUUCAAAGCCGUUCAAAAAUGGUGAGAAAUGGGCUAAUAAUCGCGAAGAUGAGUUUUUAUACAUUCUACCCAGGUGCUCUCUUCAUCGCGAACGCGACCGUCCUCUCGCGUUCGCGUAGGCCAAUAUCAGACUUCCUCUGCUUAACCAUUUGUGAAUGCGACAACUUCUUUGCGAAUGCGAUGCUCAACCAGCUCACUCCUUCGCGAACGCAGACCUCGCCUCGUGAACACGUAGACCAAAGACCUGGGUUCCCCAACUGCCUCACUCCUCUUCGCAAAUGCGACCCCACUCACGCGUCCGCGAUGCACAUGAUGCCUUAACCUUCGCGUUUGCGUCCUCUCCUUUGUGAACGCGUAGAACAAAAUUCACUACCACAGAAGACACUCUUUGCGAACGCGAGACACCCUUCGCAAACAUGAUUAACAAAAUCUCUGCAACAGAAAACCAGCAAAAUCUGCUAACUCCUCAAGUCCAAAAUGACCUGUUGAGCAUCCGAAACACACCCGAGGUCCUUGGGACCUCAACCAAAUAUGCAACACAUCCCAUAACAUCAUUCAAACUUGUUCCAACCUUCGGAACACAUAAAACAACAUCAAAACAUCAAAUCACCCUCAAAUUUAAGCAUAAGGAUUCUAGAACUUCCGAAUUCCGCAAACGUUCAAAAUGUCUGUCAAACAUCACUUGAAUAACCUGAAAUUUUGCACACACGUCAAAAAUGACACAACAGACCUACUCUAAUUUUCAGACUUCCAUUCUAACCCCGAUAUCAAAAUUUCCACUGUCAACCGAAAAAUGCCAAAUUUUCAAUUUUGCUAAUUCAAGCCUAAAUCUACCACGGACCUCCAAAAUACAUUCCAGUUAUGCUCCUAAGUCUCAAAUCACCUAACGAAGCUAUCCGAACCAUCGAAAUUCACAUCCGAGGCCUUUUUCAUAUAAGUCAAAAUCCGGUUGACUCUUCCAUCUUACGCUUACUCAAAAGAGACUAAGUGUCUCAUUUCUCUAUAAAAACCACUCCAAACCUGAACCAACCACCCCAAUACCACAAAAUACAGCUGAACAAGACAUAAGGAAGAAGCAAUGGGGGAAACGAAGCGGUAACUCAUGAAACAACCGGCCGGGUCGUUACAUCCUCCCCCUCUUAAACAAACAUUCGUCCUCGAAUGAGUCAACAAACAUACCUAAAGCCUCAAAUAGGUGAGGAUAUCUACUCUGCAUCUCCCGCUCAGUCUCCCAGGUAGCCUCCUCCACGGGCCGACCUCUCCACUGCACUUUCACUGAAGUUAUAUUCUUUGACCUCAACUUUCGGACCUGCCACUCCAAAAUAGCAACUGGCUCCACAUCAUAAGUCAAAUCACCAUCUAACUGAAUCGUGCUGAAAUCCAAAACAUGAGACGGAUCGCCAAUAUACUUUCGGAGCAUAGAAACAUGAAAUACCAGAUGCACACUUAACAAGCUGGGUGGCAAAGCAAGCGCAUAAGCCACCUCCCCAAUCCUCCGAAGUACCUUAAAAGGACCAAUGAACCGGGGACUCAACUUACCCCUCUUCCCAAAUCUCAUAACACCCUUCAUGGGUGAAACCUUCAAUAGAACAUUCUCCCCAAGAAUGUAAGACACAUCACAGACCUUCCUGUCAGCAUAACUCUUUUUUCUUGACUGCACUGUACGAAGCCGCUCCUGAAUCACCGUCACCUUGUCUGAAGCAUCCUGCACCAAGUCUGUACCCAAAAUCCUAGCCUCACUCAGAUCAAACCAACCAACCAGAGAUCUACACCGCCUCCCAUACAAAGCCUCAUAUGGAGUCAUCUGAAUACUCGACUGGUAACUGUUGUUGUAAGCAAAUUCUGCGAGCGGUAGAAACUGAUCCCAUGACCCUCCAAAAUCAAUGACACAAGCACACAACAUGUCCUCUAAUAUCUGAAUAGUUCGCUCGGACUGCCCGUCCGUCUGAGGUGAAAAGUUGUGCUCAACUCAACCUGAGUACCUAACUCUUGCUGCACAUCCCUCCAAAAUUGCGAAGUAAACUGAGUACCUCUAUCUGAAAUGAUGGAAACUGGAACACCAUGAAAGUGAACAAUCUAUCGAAUAUAGAUCUCUGCUAACCGCUCUGAAGAAUAGGUAGUACAAACAAGAAUGAAGUGCGCGGACUUGGUCAGCCGAUCCACAAUCACCCAAAUAGCCUCGAACUUCUUCAAAGUCCGUGGGAGUCUAACUACAAAAUCCAUGGUGAUUCUCUCCCACUUCCACUCUAGAAUAUCCAUCUGCUGAAGCAAGCCACCCGGUCUCUGAUGAUCAUAUUUCACCUACUGACAGUUGAGACACCAAGCUACAAAUCCCACAAUGUCCUUCUUCAUUCUCCUCCACCAAUAAUGCUAUCUCAGAUCCUGAUACAUCUUCGCAGUACCCGGAUGAAUGGAAUAUCGCGAGCUACGGGCCUCCUCCAGAAUCAAAUCCCGAAGCCCAUCCACAUUGGGCACACAUAUCUAGCCCUGUAUCCUCAACACCCCAUCAUCACCAAUAGUCACAUCUCCUGCAUCAUCGUGCUGAACUCUGUCCUUAAGGACAAGCAAAUGAGGAUCAUCAUACUGGUGCUCUUGAUGUAAUCAAAUAAGGAAGACCGAGAAACCACACAAGCUAAGACCCGACUAGGCUCCGAAAUAUCCAACCUCUCAAACCGAUUGGCCAAGGCCUGAACAUCAACUGCAAGAGGUCUAUCUCCAAUAGGAAUAUAUGCCAAACUGCCCAUACUCAAUGCCUUCCUACUCAAGGCAUCGACCACUACAUUGGCCUUUCCCGGAUGGUACAAGAUAGUGAUAUCAUAGUCCUUUAGCAACUCCAACCACCUCCGCUGCCUCAAAUUGAGAUCCUUCUACUUAAACAAGUGCUGGAGGCUGCGAUGAUCAGUAAACACCUCACAAAACAUGCCAUACAGGUAUGCCUCCAAAUCUUCAAUGCGUGAACAAUGGAAGCCAACUCUAGAUAUCCACACAUUUUCACCUCGAUCGAACGACAACGGGAUACUAUUUCGAUAAGUUCAAAAUAACACCCUUUAAGGCCAAGGACCUUCUCCAAAAUGAAGAGUUCGACCUCGAUCAAAUGACGACGGGUUACUAUUUCGAUAAGUUUUGAAUAACACCCUUUAAGGCCAAGGGCCUUUCCCAAAGUGAAGAGUUUAACCUUGAGCGAACGAUGACGAGUUACUAUUUGGAUAAAUUCGAAAUAACACCCUUUGAAGCCAAGGGCCUUCGCCAAAAUGUAGAGUUCGACCUCGAUCGAACAACGACGGGUUACUAUUUCGAUAAGUUCGAAAUAACACCCUUUAAGUCCAAGGAUCUUCGCAAAGUGAAUUGUUCGACCUCGAUCGAACGACGACAGGUUACUAUUUCGAUAAGUUCGAAAUAACACCCUUUAAGGAUAAGGGCCUUCGCCAAAAGGAAGAGUUUGACCUUGAUCGAACGACGAUGGGUCACUAUUUCGAUAAGUUCGAAAUAAAACCCUUUAUGCCCAAGGGCCUUUGCCAAAAGGAAGAGUUCGACCUCGAUCAAAUGACAACGGGUCACUAUUUCGAUAAGUUCGAAAUAACAUCCUUUAAGGGCAAGGGCCUUCACCAAAAUGAAGAGUUCGACCUCGAUCGAACAACGAUGGGUUCUAUUUUGAUAAGUUCGAAAUAACACCCUUUAAGGCCAAGGGCCUUCGCCAAAGUGAAGAGUUCGACCUCGAUCGAAUGACGACGGGUUACUAUUUCGAUAAGUUCGAAAUAACACCCUUUAAGGCCAAAGGCCUUCGCUAAAGUGAAGAUUCGACCUUGAUCAAACAACGAUGGGUUACUAUUUCGAUAAGUUCGAAAUAACACCCUUUAGGGCCAAAGACCAUCAAAAAGUGCAAAAAGACCGAGACCCACUGGGCGGGAAUCCAUCUCGCAUCGAAAUCACGCGCAACAUAAACAAGGGUAGAAUACAAGACAAAUAACAGUGAAAAACUCUUCUUUAUACAAAGUCUCCGCGCAAAUGGUAGCGGAUUACAUAAGACCCAAGUUAACAAUAUAUAAAAAAGGAGGGGCAACAAACAACAAAGAAAAAAAACAACGAUAAUCGACUACGAACGAAAAACGGGGAAGAAAACAUCAAAUGGAAAACAGAUCAAUGUCACUAUCCCUCUACUCUACAUAAUCAUCGCCACCCUCUCCAAUACCAUCUCCGGGAAGUUCUCCUUCGACGUUUGUGCCCCCAUUGGCUUCUGGUGUCACCGCAUCAUAUCCACAAUUGACGCGAGCCUCCCGCACUUUCACUCUCGCCUCUUCAUAGGCAUCUUUAGUCACAUUCCCCCCCUCCUACAAACUCUUGUAUAUAUCCUGCUGGGCUUCGGCGUAAACCUAAAGCUCGUGCAUGCAGCGAGGAACGGUGGUGGAGGUAGAUUCAAUCUGAGCCAACAGAUGCUAAUUUUUCGCCUCUAGUGCUGCGACCCGAUCCCCAGAACCGAGGCCUCUUAGUUAAUCUCGCUAAUGUGCUCCGCAUAUCUUGCCUCCAUAAGGGUGGCCAUCGCUCUCUUCGAUUCUUUCUCGGAUUGGAGGACGCGAAUGGUUUUCUCCAGGGCCACCACCCUCGCUGAAGCCGCGGACCAAGUACUCUCGAUGCUCUCCAACCCAACAAUCUUGUUCUCCAGCCCAGUCAAUUUCCCCAUCCAUUCCGCGCUUAGCGCCUCAACCUUGAUCAAGUUCAUAUCCAUCUCCGACUGCUGCUGUGGAUAGCCUGCAUUAAUUCUUGGUCCAUUUUCUGCAACUCCUCACCAAGAGCCCGACUACCAGGGUUUGUAUUCAGCCGCUCAUGCCUUUUGCGAUACUUGUUGCGGUAGCGACGAUAUUUCUCCAACAUCUUCAAGAAAAUCUUGGCCCGAAUGUUGGCCCUACGAAUGCUCUCCAUUUCCACCAUAUACGUCUGAAAAAUAAAAAGAUAGGUUAGAAUCCUAUCAUCAAGGAAAAGCGAAAGUAAGCAUAACAUACCCUUAAGCCCAUAGCGGCCACCUCGUCCAUCAAUUCAGCAUCGAGAAUGGUCCGAAGGGUCACAUUCUCAGAUACGGAGCAUAGCAUGCUGAACUGCGGCACUAGGUCCUCCGUGUCCCCAGGAGAUUGACAUCCGAAGGGAUCUCAAGAAUACGGGCCGAGCCUCCCACACGAACUAACGAGUGAGUAAGACCCUCCUCAAACAUCCUGACAUCAUCAGGGUCGAGGUCCGAUUCGGAUUCAUAGUCGUCGACCACCAUGGCGUUUCCUCUUUCAACAGCCGAAGAGGAAGCAUGACCAACUAUGGAGGACGUGGGUACGUCCGAAACUACAACGGUAGCCCCGAAAAUCUAACCUUCCACCACGAUAGGUUGCUGACCACCAACAACGUUGGGAAUCUCUGGUUGAGCCGAGGCGAUAACCGGUUCCGUCCCUAUGGGGGGAGCCACAAAAACCCCCUCUCCAGACCCUGUCAAAGGAGAGUCAUCUAGAUGAAUCACUGUUGGGGGUGUUGUCUCGAACUCCACUCGCCGUCUUUUUGAUGGCCACUCUUCUUCCCUAGUAGGCAAAGAUUCACCCGUCAGGCGAACAACAUGGGUUGGAACAUCGGCCUGAGAAGCGGCCCUCGCAGAGUAACCACGGACGCAGACUCAACUGAAGCAGCCCUCGACGAAGGUCGGGCAGUGGGUACCGCGAUAGGGCGAGCAGAUAAGGCUGGCUGCCGGAAAGCUAACGGAGGAGCCCUCACUCUCCGUACCCUCCCUGACACCGACAAACAUCAUGUGAGGAAUUAAAUACAAAGAUAAAAAGAGAAAAACAGUGAACAGAAAUGACAUCUUACCAGAAAGAGGCCUGUGCCCAUACUUGUCAUAGAAAGUCGCCCACAUGCGGACCCCUGCUGUAUGAGGGAGAAUAGCACUUACCCACUCGCGGAUAUUUUCGACAGGUGGAGGGGGCAAUUUCUCAGUUGCAAAAACAUAACAGGGUUUAGUACUAUAACGGAAAAUGGUCGGAUAUAUCUUCGACUAAAAGCAUGAGAAGUUCCACUUCUCAGGGAACCCCGUCGGAUCCACCACAAUGUGUUCAGUCUGCACAUAGAAAUAAUUCUCAUAAAAACGAUGGUUAGUUCUAUCAUACAUCUUCACCAUCAGACUCUUCGACCGUCGAGGACACAUGUGAAGCAUCAUGUCGCGGAUAAGCUGAGGAGCGAAGAUACUAAGCAGGUGGUAUAAGGUGAUCUCACGACCGGCGAGUUCCGCAAACUUGAGCAACAUAAGGAACAUCUUGUAUAGGUACGACGAAAGUUGGGCGGAGCAUACCUCAUAAAAGCGGUAGAAGUUUACCACUAGGAGAGGGAGAGGAAGUGUGUAUCCAAUAAGGAAGGGGUAAGCAUAAAAUACACAGUACCUACAACAGUCAAAGUGAACUAUGUCGUUUCCUUCCACCGGCCGCAUGUCGACAUAACCCGGGAUCCUCCACCUGGUUUUCAACUCUACAAUGCCUUCUUCUCUCAUAACAGAAGGAACAGGCUCCGGCUCCGCCCCGGCGCGACUGCUGAAGUCGGUCAAUUCUCUCCCAGUGCAAGGAAAAAUCUCAACUAUCAACAAGACCUCCUCGUCUUCCACUGCAUCUGCCCCUCCAGUGACCUGAGCAGCACUUUCCGGUGCUGGAAUCGUGACGGGGAGAUCGGUGCGAGAGGAAUCACCAGCCAUUUUGUCCAGAAGAUACGGCAAAAAGACAACGGAAAGAAAGGAUGAAAAUCCUCAGUUAACAAAAGGGCAAACGAAAACUUGGAAUGUCAGGAAGAAAGUAUAUUUGCAGAAUUCUUUCGCGUAAAAGGAAAAAAGUGUGUCAAUCGAAUGAUAAGUUCUUUCUAUUUAUAAGAGACAUAGAUCCCUCGAGCACGAAACCUAAGAGUCGCCAAUUGAACCUGAUAGGGCACGAAACGUUUCAGUUCCCCAGGGACGUGUGUCAUGAUGGCGGUAACCACAAAAUAAGGCUUCGAUACCAAACGACGUUUUGGUUCCGAAACAGCCGCAACGGUUCAUGGGUAUCAAGAGAACGCCGCCACCUCGCCUAAAACCCAAGUAAUGUAACUAAGGAACGAGAAGUCAGAUUUUGCUCAAACUCAUAGCAAUCAUGAUCCGUUUGCCGGGCCCGACAGAGGACGACCCCAAUAUCAUACCCUUUUUUACAAACUUCACUUAACUCUUUUAAAAUUAAUAAAAGUGAUUCGUAAAGCUUGAAAAGGAUUUUCUAAUUAGAACAUGACAAAAAUUGUGUUCAAAAGGAAAUAACUCAGAGUCGCCACCUGACAUUGAUUUCGGUGUGUCAGGUCAUCAUUUUUUUUAAAAAUGAUUUUUCCUUUAAGACACUUUGGACUCCAAAACUAAAUUCGCACCAGAGAUUUGGGUAAGGGGGUUUAUUUGACUCGGGGAGAAGGUGUUAGGCACUCCCCAAGUCUGUGAAAGUCACGGUUUCAUACUCGAUCUAGUUGGCUUUUAAAAUAUUUAAGUUGAGGUAAAAUAAAAACAGAAAAGAAAAAUAAACACGUAAGAUGCUCGAGGUCGUCCCCCUCCUAAUAAAAGAAAGAUAAAAAUAAAAUGAAAUAAGAAUAAAAGUACCACGAGUUCGCUUUCCGCCUCCAAUUAUAGAAUACUAAGGGGCAUUCCCCAGAAUAAAAAAUAUACAAAUCCUUCGGGGCAUUCCCAGGAUAAAUUUAACUAAGGGAAUGACCUCUUGCCUCAAAAUUAAACAAACAAAAUCCUAGAGUUUGCCUACCUAAACAUUAACGGCCUAAACAUGCUCCUAGCAAUUAAAAGCAACAAAGCAAGAUAAAGAACUAAGAAAAUCGAUCCAAGCUCAAAUUUUUGUAAUUCCCUUUCCAGCUCGUCCAGUACGCCUUUAUAAAGUCCAUGUUUCUAUUAAACCAACCCCUUGACCAAAUUCAAUUUUUUGUCCCGUUUAUCAAAUUGUGACUUAUUUGCCUUAAUAUUCCUAAUGCACUUCAAGUUUAACCCAAUUAAUUCAAAUUGAUCCAACACAAAAUUAACGAUAAUGCAAAAAACUACAGUGAAUCAAGGAAGCAAAAAAACACAAAACAAGACAUGAAACAUUCCAAAAACCACAAGCAAAAUAAUGAAAAAGAUCAAAGCACAUAUCAGAUGAGAGAAAAUUGAACCUCAUUGAUUGAUUUCUUUGUAUUAAACGUGACCUUGGUCGCAACAAACUCUGACAAACCAAAUUUGGCCGAAAAGCGCAAUAGUAGCAGGAGCUCGGACCGCGAAUUCCUUUGACAGACCUCUUCGACUCAAACUCAGGAUCCUGAGCAGCUAUGUUGGCGCUGAGAAUACUCUAAUCACUAGUUAUAAAAUUAGCUAAAAUUGGCUAUAACCUUUUGACCACUUAAAAUUCAGCAGACUCCCAUAAAUUUUUAAUAGAAGACAAAACCCUCUUGGCUCUUGUUUGAGAACUAGGUGAAGAAGUGAGAAAAGCAAUAGCCACAAAAAUAGUAAGUAAAAAGAGACGUUUGGCUAGCUUCUCUAUCUCUCUCGUCUGGAUGUGCACAAAUCCGGCGUCGCUACCGCAACGAGUAACACCAGAAUAGCGCUAAUGGGAAGCAAAGAUCAAAGGGUUGCCAAAGUAGGCAUGUCCGGCCAGAUCUAGUUUCGUCCUGUGUGUGUGUGUGUGUUUGAGAAUGAGGGGAGAUCACAACUGUUGGGAGUGGGUAGAGACGGGGUUGUCGUUGGCGGCUGUAUAUUCUGGAGAAGAUGACUGUGUGUGGCGGGUUAGAGGCUGGUGGCGGAGAGGUCUAACGAUGGUUCUCUUUUUAAAAUGGGGUGGUGGAAUUGGUCGGCGGUGUGGAGCUGGGUAGUGUCCAGGCUGCUGAUGGCUUGGAGAUGUGAAGAAGGUGGGAGAUUAGGGAGGGACAGCUGGUUUCUCGUUAGGGCUUUCUAGGGUUUUUUG
rnacentral:lncRNA from 1 species